AAAGAAAAAGAAAAAAAAAAGAAACAAAGAAACUUGCACAUUUUUGUGCUAGGUUUAAAUUUUUCACUACUACAAACCAUGUUGUAGUGAACAUCCUUGUACUGCUUGCCUUGUGUACAUGCUCAGGAGUUUCUCUGGGGCAAUGAUGUGUAAAAGCAAAAGGGCCAGCUGCUGGGUGUCUGCAUGUUGUCUGGAGCCUCCUUAUACUUGGUCAGUCCGUCGCUUCUCUGCUCUUUGGCUGAGAUCAAGUGUGUACUUAUCAGUCCAGGACCAGCCCCAGCCAGUGGGUAGUCAUGAGGAAGUAUGAUUAGACAAAGAGGAUGUGAUCUAAUGGAAAGAAACUGAGGGGAACUCAGCAAGUCCUGUUUGUUCAGAUUCUUCUUGGUGUCUCUUCAGGAUUAGGAUGUUCCUAAUGCCCCUUUCCUCUGCACAUAGGAAGGGUACUUCUGGAGUGAGGGUUUUAUGAUUCACUCCAAAGAAGGGCAAGAGGGAGGUGAGAGUGACCUUACUAAUUCUGCUGUUUCUCAAAUGCCAAGAUGCUAUCUUUUGGGGUAACAUGUCCUGAACCUCAUCAGGAGAGAGUGAUUAAUUCAGCUAGGGAGGCAGGCUAGUUAGAUAGAGACUGUGAACCCUGAAAGACCAGGGCAGAGAGUGCCUUUCAGAAGAAAGGUAGUUAGAGCAGGUAGAAUGGCCCAGACGCUAUAAUCCCACAGCAUAAUCUAGGAACUCCCAGCCACCUGGCCGGGGGAGGAAGGUUAGUGAAACCUUUUUUUUUUUUUUUUUUUUUUUGAGAUGUAAUUUCCCUCUUGUUGCCCAGGCUGGAGUGCAAUGGCGUGAUCUUGGCUCACUGCAACCUCUGCCUCCCAGGUUCAAGUGACUCUCCUGCCUCAGCCUCCUGAGUAGCUGAGUAGCUGGGAUUACAGGCACCUGCCACCAUGCCCAGCUAAUUUUGUUGUGUUUUGUUUGUUUGUUUGUUUGUUUUUGAGAUGGAGUCUCACUCUGUUGCCCAAGCUGGAGUGCAGUAGCCUGAUCUCGGCUCACUGCAAGCUCCGCCUCCCAGGUUCAAGCGAUUCUCCUGCCUCAGCCUCCUGAGGACUACAGGCACACACCACCAUGCCUGGCUAAUUUUUGUAUUUUUAGUAGAAACGGGGUUACACCAUGCUGGCCAGGCUGGUCUUGAACUCCUGACCUUGUGAGCUGCCCGUCUUGGCCUCCAAAAGUGCGGGGAUUACAGGCAUGAGCCACUGCGCCCGGCCUAAUUUUGUAUUUUUAGUAGAGAUGGAGUUUCUCCAUGUUGUCCAGGCUGGUCUCGAACUCCUGACCUCAGGUGAUCUGCCCGCCUCAGCCUCCCAAAUUUCUGGGAUUACAGGUGUGAGCCACUGCGCCCAUCCUAGUGAAACUUUUAAGCAGAGGAGUGACAUGCUCAGCUUGGCCAUUUUAGUAGCUUAGUCUGGUAGAUAUACAGAGAAUGAGGUGAGGGGGUAUGAACUAGGCAGCAAAGAGCUGAGAAGAGCAGUAAUCUAAGCUACAAAUGAACGGGUCUUGACUAUGGCGGCUGCAACGAAAGGAGAAAGGAAAGGUUAAUUAGGAAUCAAAUCUAAGAGUUUGAUGAUUAAAUGGAUGUUGAGAAACAUGGACCACAGAAGAAUUUAGGGAUGACAGCUGGCUGGGAGAAGGAAAAGGAAAGGGAACUAAAAGGACUAAGGUAUACUGAGAGAUGCUGAGACCUAUUUGGGUUCUUCUCUGAGGCCUGGAAACAAGGUCCUCCUUCCUUGUGCUUGUGGCUGCCCAAAUAAAAUCAAGUUUUAUAAACCAGGGAAGAAAGGAGAAAAAGAUGUUGGGUAGUGCUUAUAAGAUAGAAACUUGUUGUAUGCUUGACGCAUUACUUUCAGUGCCUGUCUUGAUUCUCAAGCAACUCUACAAGGUACUGUUUUCACUGGGAACACAUGAAGUUACAGGUAACAGAAUGCAUAAAUCUGGUUUAAGCCAUGAAGACAUUUGAAAAUCUGACAUAAGAAUCCUGGAGAAAGAAGUUUCCUUUUUAGCUGCAGUGGCUCAAGGAUGUCAUUAAGAACCCGGCCUCUUUAUGUCUUCCUAAUCCUCCUCCUCAACACGUUGGUUUUUCACUCUUAAGCUUGUCAACACAAGGCUUUUCCCUUUCCGGGAUUUUAUCUUUAACUAGGCUACAAGAAUCUUUCCAAAAGCCUGCUUCCAGACUCUUCCAUCUCAUUGGCCAUAAUUGGCCACAUGCUGAGUUCAGAAGCAAUCUCUAGCAGGGGAACGGGCUAAGCUUCAAUCAAUCAUGACUUUUCUCUGAGGCCUGGGGACAGGUAUUCCUUCUUUGUACAUGUUGUGGCCCAAAUGAAAUCAGGUUGUAUUAACUAGGAAAGAAGAAGAAAUAACUGUUAGGUAAUGGUAGUAAGUCAUAUUUCCAACCUUCAGAACAUCUGAGGAAAGGGGACAAAAAGAAAAAAGAAUUGACCCA
rnacentral:lncRNA from 1 species